CUGGAUCUGGUUUAUUCCCUUUGUCAGUUAAAGAAGGCGGGAGAAAUCUCAAGAGUGACAGGUAGCAGUGAAGAAAUCUCAAACACAGAAAACAGGAGCAGACAGAAUUUACAGUUGAAGAAAGGGGAUGAGGAAACAUGCGUGCAGUGGACGCACAGAGGGGAUAAAACCCUCUGCUAAACAGAGAGGACUCGGGAACCUCCCCUAAUUUAGGGUUGGUUGGUUUGAAAAACAGCUAGGACAGUUGUUGAUGUAACUUGUCAGACCUUGAAUUUGUCGAGCCAGUCCAUCAGCAGAGGGUGCUGCUGAGAGACAGCAGUUAGCAAGCCUUUGUUUUAAACUGUCUGGCUUUUGUGGAAGGUCAGGAAGGUAAGGAAGGAGCCAUCUUGGAAGUUCACCACCUUUAGUACCUAGCCAAGGCCUUCCUGUCUGUCUUAUACUUAUCCUGGAAUGUCUUUUUGCUGUGUAAAUCAAGAAUACUGGCUUCUCUGAGUAGAAAUGUCAGAAAAAGACACCUUAGGCUGCUACAGAGGACAAGGCUCAUGGUCUUGGUGGUUGAAGAGGAGAGUCCCAGAAACAAAGAACAGGAAGGAGUCCCUCCCCCUGGAACAGGCAACAGAUCUGGGCACAACAGUUGCAAGCACCAAGCAAGAUGGUGGUAAAGCCAGGACUUUCCAUAACAAAGAUGGCUGCCUGUCACAUGACUACACUUAACCAAGAUGGCAACUACAGUUCUACCUUUUCCAGCCCUUAGCAAAGAUGGCGAUGAGCCAUGUGUUGGUUAUAUCCCAGGAUGUAAUGUCAUGUGAUUAAAAAUUACCUGAGCAUAGACUUUUAAUUACUAUUUUCAGCCAUGAACUUUAAAAACAUGCCUGAGUCUGAAAAGGAUGAGCAAUAAAACAUUUUAGACCCAGCCAUAAGGA